AGUUGAACAAAUAUGCAAGCACUCGAUGUGUUGAAUAUGCUGGCAACCACUGUGUGGACUCUAUUGUGAUGAAAAUAAAAAAUCCCCUGUGUGGAUGGUGCAUUUAUGAACAACGAGCCUCUCUGCAGUCUGACUGUUCCUGUAAUAAAACUGGCGAAUGCUGGCGAUCAUCCCUUACUUCCUGUAUAUCGUUGGACAUAGAACCAAAAGGGGCCACAUCUAGCUCAGGAAAGGUUGUCAUUCAAUUGAGACCUUCACCGAGUCAGCCUGAUGGUCCGAUGUAUCAAUACUUUUGUCGAUCAAAUGGAACAAUCACAAAUGCAACCAGAAAUGGUGCAAUGUUCACAUGCAAUAU